AUUGAACGCUGGCGGAAUGCUUUACACAUGCAAGUCGAACGGCAGCACGGGGGCAGCCCUGGUGGCGAGUGGCGAACGGGUGAGUAAUACAUCGGAACGUGCCCGGUCGUGGGGGAUAACGUAGCGAAAGUUACGCUAAUACCGCAUACGAUCUGAGGAUGAAAGCGGGGGACCUUCGGGCCUCGCGCGAUCGGAGCGGCCGAUGUCAGAUUAGGUAGUUGGUGGGGUAAAGGCCUACCAAGCCGACGAUCUGUAGCUGGUCUGAGAGGUCGACCAGCCACACUGGGUCUGAGACACGGCCCAGACUCCUACGGGAGGCAGCAGUGGGGAAUUUUGGACAAUGGGCGCAAGCCUGAUCCAGCCAUUCCGCGUGCAGGACGAAGGCCUUCGGGUUGUAAACUGCUUUUGUACGGAACGAAAAGGCUCUGGCUAAUACCUGGGGCUCAUGACGGUACCGUAAGAAUAAGCACCGGCUAACUACGUU
rnacentral:rRNA from 1 species